GGUGUUUUUUGGAUAGCACACCCCAGAAUUGGGCUCCCUCCUCUCUGGUUCCAGGUGCGUCACCCAAAAACUGCA
rfam:Myotis davidii contig183250, whole genome shotgun sequence.